AAAGCGAAGCAGUGAUGUGGAGGCAAAACUCAAAAAAAUAAGUCUCAGUUCGGAUUGAAGGCUGAAAUUCGCCUUCAUGAAGCCGGAAUUGCUGUAAUGGCAGGUCAGCAUACUGCCGUGAAUACGUUCCCGGGCCUUGUACACACCGCCCGUCACACCAUGAGAGUUGGGAAUACCCGAAGCCUGUGAGCUAACUUUUAGAGGCAGCAGUCGAAGGUAGAAUCAAUGAUUGGGGUGAAGUCGUAACAAGGUACC
rnacentral:rRNA from 1 species